rfam:Drosophila pseudoobscura pseudoobscura strain MV2-25 unplaced genomic scaffold Tnknown_group_264, whole genome shotgun sequence.
CAAUCGGCUUUCCGCUAAAAGCCACCAAGAUUAAAUAACAGAAUUAU